rnacentral:rRNA from 1 species
UUGCUGGGUGGAUUAGUGGCGAACGGGUGAGUAACACGUGAGUAACCUGCCCCUGACUCUGGGAUAAGCGUUGGAAACGACGUCUAAUACUGGAUAUGAUCACUGGCCGCAUGGUCUGGUGGUGGAAAGAUUUUUUGGUUGGGGAUGGACUCGCGGCCUAUCAGCUUGUUGGUGAGGUAAUGGCUCACCAAGGCGACGACGGGUAGCCGGCCUGAGAGGGUGACCGGCCACACUGGGACUGAGACACGGCCCAGACUCCUACGGGAGGCAGCAGUGGGGAAUAUUGCACAAUGGGCGAAAGCCUGAUGCAGCAACGCCGCGUGAGGGAUGACGGCCUUCGGGUUGUAAACCUCUUUUAGUAGGGAAGAAGCGAAAGUGACGGUACCUGCAGAAAAAGCACCGGCUAACUACGUGCCAGCAGCCGCGGUAAUACGUAGGGUGCAAGCGUUGUCCGGAAUUAUUGGGCGUAAAGAGCUCGUAGGCGGUUUGUCGCGUCUGCUGUGAAAUCCCGAGGCUCAACCUCGGGCUUGCAGUGGGUACGGGCAGACUAGAGUGCGGUAGGGGAGAUUGGAAUUCCUGGUGUAGCGGUGGAAUGCGCAGAUAUCAGGAGGAACACCGAUGGCGAAGGCAGAUCUCUGGGCCGUAACUGACGCUGAGGAGCGAAAGCAUGGGGAGCGAACAGGAUUAGAUACCCUGGUAGUCCAUGCCGUAAACGUUGGGCGCUAGAUGUAGGGACCUUUCCACGGUUUCUGUGUCGUAGCUAACGCAUUAAGCGCCCCGCCUGGGGAGUACGGCCGCAAGGCUAAAACUCAAAGGAAUUGACGGGGGCCCGCACAAGCGGCGGAGCAUGCGGAUUAAUUCGAUGCAACGCGAAGAACCUUACCAAGGCUUGACAUACACCGGAAACGGCCAGAGAUGGUCGCCCCCUUGUGGUCGGUGUACAGGUGGUGCAUGGUUGUCGUCAGCUCGUGUCGUGAGAUGUUGGGUUAAGUCCCGCAACGAGCGCAACCCUCGUUCUAUGUUGCCAGC